AUAAGGGAGAGGUCCCUGAUUUGAAAGAGAACUGAACUAAUCAAGAAAAACCCAAAAUAUGGAGUAGAAAGGGGAAGAAGAGCAACAGAAUCUGAAAACCCUCACUUUUCAUAUAACACUUCAAGAAAUCUA